rnacentral:rRNA from 1 species
CCUGAGAAACCCAAAAGAUCGAUCGGGGAGAUUCAUCGUCAGCGAUUCUGGUACGUGCGCGGUGCGCGAUGCCGCGGGACUUCGGUCUCGUGACACGCGUCCGCGCAUGGUUUUAUUGCCAGGUGUCGUCGGCGUGCACUUCUCCCCUAGUAGGACGUCGCGACCCGUUGGGUGUCGGUCUACGGCCCRGAUGGGUAGCCUGUCGUGUGUCGCGCCUUGUGCCGACAUGUGGCAGACCCCCGGUUCGCCCGACCGRCUGCCCGGCGGUAUUCGCACGGUAUCGAGCCGCAAAUAUUUGAACUGCGUCCGGCCCGCCGCAAGCGAGGUCAGUGUUUCCCGGAUGUGCGGACCUAGCGCCGUCACCGGGCCUGGCCAGCUGUUGGUCGGCGGUGUCCUGGGACUGGCUCACAAUUUGAAUUAUGAUACCGGUCGGCGACGCUACUGCUUUGGGUACUUUCAGGACCCGUCUUGAAACACGGA